rnacentral:rRNA from 1 species
GUCUACUGCUAUACCACCCUGAAUGGUCUCAAUCUCAUCUGAUCUCGGAAGCUAAGCAGGGUUAGCCUGGUUAGUAUUUGAAUGGGAAAAUGCAACCUCUCCCUUCCUACAACCUGUUGUAUGCA